CAAUUGUCCUCUGUGUUGCUGCUGCUGUGGCAAUUUGCAUAUGCCUGAAGAAGAAGGCAGGUGAAAGAGGAAGGCACGACACCAGGAAGCAGAUGGAGACAGUCCCCAAGACUCUUGCAGGAUUGUUGUGGAUGAUCAGGAGAUCGAGGGUCCCUCUUGGAAUACUGAGAACUACAGAACUCAUCUAGGAUUCCGCUCUGGGACUUUAGGAUUGCUUAGCUUGUCAUUCUAAAAGAGGGCUGUGCCCCCUCCCCCACC
rnacentral:lncRNA from 1 species